rnacentral:rRNA from 1 species
UACGUAGGGGGCAAGCGUUGUCCGGAUUUAUUGGGCGUAAAGCGCUCGCAGGUGGUCCGAUGCGUCGUGCGUGAAAGACCCCGGCUCAACUGGGGAGGGUCGUGCGAUACGGUCGGACUGGAGGCCAGUAGGGGGAUGCGGAAUUCCGGGUGUAGUGGUGGAAUGCGUAGAGAGUCCGGAGGAACACCAGCGGCGAAGGCGGCUUUCUGGUCUGCUCUUGACGCUGAGGCGCGAAAGCUAGGGUAGCAAACGGGG